AUACCUACCUGUCGGGGAGAUACUGUGAUUGUAAAGGUAGUUUUCCCAGCGCCAGACUUAUCCAUUGUACUACAGUUAUGCUGACCCUUGUGAUUACCCCAAAUGUGGGAAACUUGGCUGCAUAAUUUGUGAUAGUGGGGGACUGCAUUCAUGUUUCCCCUA